GCCGAGAUGGCGGAACCGGCAGACGCGUCGGUCUCAAAAACCGAUGAGGGCAACCUCGUGGGGGUUCGACUCCCCCUCUCGGCACCA
rnacentral:tRNA from 1 species